AACUGUGGUGGGGUUUUUUUUGGCACAUUUGUUAAGUUUUCAAAUGGGCCCGACUCUGCCACAGACAUUAUACAGGAGUCAGCAAAGGCUUGAUGACAAAGAGACCGCUCUCUGGCCUUUCUGGGGUGUGGAAGUUGGCUCCCACAUGU